rnacentral:rRNA from 1 species
CAGUCGCCGCGGUAAUACCGAGGGUGCGAGCGUUAAUCGGAUUUACUGGGCGUAAAGCGUGCGUAGGCGGCUUCUUAAGUCGGAUGUGAAAUCCCUGAGCUUAACUUAGGAAUUGCAUUCGAUACUGGGAAGCUAGAGUAUGGGAGAGGAUGGUAGAAUUCCAGGUGUAGCGGUGAAAUGCGUAGAGAUCUGGAGGAAUACCGAUGGCGAAGGCAGCCAUCUGGCCUAAUACUGACGCUGAGGUACGAAAGCAUGGGGAGCAAACAGGAUUAGAUACCCCCGUAGUCCCUGUCUCUUAUCC